CUUGAACUUUAUAAGAGGUCCAGCCUGCCCAGUGACUCUGUUCAACGGCCGCGGUAUCCUAACCGUGCGAAGGUAGCGUAAUCACUUGUUCUUUAAAUGUGGACUAGUAUGAAUGGCACUACGAGGGUUAUACUGUCUCCUUUUUCUAAUCAGUGAAACUAAUUUUCCCGUGAAGAAGCGGGAAUACAACUAUAAGACGAGAAGACCCUAUGGAGCUUUAAACAACCUAGCAAUUACUUCUAAAAUUAUAAAUUUCAGAAUACUCAUUCUUUAAGCAAUAUGUCUGCAAGUUUUUGGUUGGGGUGACCAUGGAGAAUAACACAACCUCCAUGUUGAAUGAAUUUUUAUUCUAAGCUAAGAAUUACUAAUUAAAGCAUCAACACACUGACAUUUAUUGACCCA
rnacentral:rRNA from 1 species